CCUACGGGCGGCAGCAGUGAGGAAUAUUGGUCAAUGGCCGUAAGGCUGAACCAGCCACGUCGCGUGAAGGAAGAAGGAUCUAUGGUUUGUAAACUUCUUUUAUAGGGGAAUAAAGGUAUCCAUGUGUGGAUAUUUGCAUGUACCCUAUGAAUAAGCAUCGGCUAACUCCGUGCCAGUCGCCGCGGUAAUACGGAGGAUUCGAGCGUUAUCCGGAUUUAUUGGGUUUAAAGGGUGCGUAGGUUGUUUUGUAAGUCAGCGGUGAAAGGUUGUGGCUCAACCAUAAAAUUGCCGUUGAAACUGGCAGACUUGAGUGUGUUAGAGGUAGGCGGAAUGCGUGGUGUAGCGGUGAAAUGCAGAGAUAUCACGAAGAACUCCGAUUGCGAAGGCAGCUUACU
rnacentral:rRNA from 1 species